CUUAGAAGCAGCCAUACAUUUAAAGAGUGCGUAAUAGCUCACUGGUCAAGUGAUUUUGCGCCAAAGAUUUCCGGGGCUAAAUCUGAUACCGAAGUCGUGGACUUGGAUAACAAGUGGUAGAGGAGCAUUGUAUGAAGGCUGAAGCAGUACCGAAAGGAGCUGUGGACAUCAUAGAAGAGAGAAUGCUGGCAUAAGUAGCGAAAAGGCGAGUGAGAAUCUCGCCCGUCGAAAACCUAAGGAUUCCUGGGCAAGGCUCGUCCCCCCAGGGUAAGUCGGGACCUAAGGCCAGGCUGAAAAGCGUAGCCGAUGGACAACAGGUUGAAAUUCCUGUACUAUCUUAAAUCGCAACUAGCAACGUGGGGACGCAGGAGGAUAGCCUUACCGUACAACAAGGAAAAGUACGGCUAAAUAACAAGCCAGAGUCUACAGGGAAAACCGUAGACUUGCAAAAGUGAGUUAUGAUGGGGAUCGAAAAACAAGUAGAGAAGAAGCACUAUUCACACUGCCAAGAAAAACCACUAGCGAGAUGAAAAGAUACCCGUACCGCAAACCGACACAGGUAGGAAAGGAGAGAAUCCUAAGACGCGCGGAAGAACCUUUGUUAAGGAACUCGGCAAAAUGACCCCGUAAGUUAGCGAGAAGGGGAGCCAGAGCGAUCUGGCCGCAGUGAAUAGGCCCAAGCGACUGUUUACCAAAAACACAAGUUUCUGCUAAGUCGUAAGACGAAGUAUAGGAGCUGACACCUGCCCGGUGCUGGAAGGUUAAGGGGAAGGCUUAGCGUAAGCGAAGGCUAGAACUUAAGCCCCAGUAAACGGCGGCCGUAACUAUAACGGUCCUAAGGUAGCGAAAUUCCUUGUCGGGUAAGUUCCGACCCGCACGAAAGGUGUAACGAUUUGGGCACUGUCUCAACAAAGGAUCCGGUGAAAUUGUAGUAGCGGUAAAGAUGCCGCUUACCCACGACAGGACGGAAAGACCCCAUGGAGCUUUACUGCAGGCUGAUAUUGGAUUUCGGAAUGGACUGUACAGGAUAGGUGGGAGACAUAGAACGGAGCACGCCAGUGUUUCGGGAGUCGCCCUUGGGAUACCACUCUAUUCAUUCUGGAAUUCUAACCUACUUCCGUGAAUCCGGAAGAGGGACACUGUCAGUUGGGCAGUUUGACUGGGGCGGUCGCCUCCCAAAAAGUAACGGAGGCGUUCAAAGGUUCCCUCAGCACGGACGGAAAUCGUGCAAAGAGUAUAAAGGCAGAAGGGAGCUUAACUGCGAGACCAACAAGUCGAGCAGAUGCGAAAGCAGGACUUAGUGAUCCGGUGGUACCGAGUGGAAGGGCCAUCGCUCAACGGAUAAAAGCUACCCUGGGGAUAACAGGCUUAUCUCCCCCAAGAGUCCACAUCGACGGGGAGGUUUGGCACCUCGAUGUCGGCUCGUCUCAUCCUGGGGCUG
rnacentral:rRNA from 1 species